AACGAACGCUGGCGGCAUGCCUAACACAUGCAAGUCGAACGAGACCUUCGGGUCUAGUGGCGCACGGGUGCGUAACGCGUGGGAACCUGCCCUUAGGUUCGGAAUAACUCCCCGAAAGGGGUGCUAAUACCGGAUAAUGUCUUCGGACCAAAGAUUUAUCGCCUUUGGGUGGGCCCGCGUUAGAUUCGCUAGUUGGUAGUGUAAAAGCCUACCAAGGCGACGAUCCAUAGCUGGUCUGAGAGGAGGAUCAGCCACACUGGGACUGAGACACGGCCCAGACUCCUACGCGAGGCAGCAGUGGGGAACAUUGGACAAGGGGCGAAAGCCUGAUCCAGCAAUGCCGCGUGAGUGAUGAAGGCCUUAGGGUUGUAAAGCUCUUUUACCCGGGAUGAUAAUGACAGUACCGGGAGAAUAAGCUCCGGCUAACUCCGUG
rnacentral:rRNA from 1 species